rnacentral:misc_RNA from 1 species
CAAUUUGAAGGAUAAGCCUGGUAUUGCUGAACUAUACUUGGAAUGGAUUGAUAAAUUUUCUUCUGAUUUGAGAAACUCAAGUGAUGAAGAACAAGUUCUCGACUCACUACGGCCACAUCAAAGGCUGUCAAGCCUUUCAAUUACAUCAUUUGGAAUCUUGGCUAGGAGAGUUCUCAUUCUCUAGCAUGGUGCAGGUGAAGCUGAGCAACUGUUGUCAAAUUACAUCAUUGCCACCACUCGGACGAUUAAAGUCGUUAAAAAAGUUGAGCAUGGAAAGUCUGAGUGGAGUGAA